rnacentral:pre_miRNA from 1 species
CAAUGAUGAGGAUGACGAUGAUGAUCAUGAUGAUAAUGGUGAUGAUGAUGAUGAUUAUCAUCAUUAUCAUCAUCAUCGUCGUCAUCGUUGUCGUCC